rnacentral:rRNA from 1 species
AGGACGAACGCUGGCGGCGUGCCUAACACAUGCAAGUCGAACGGACGAGGGGAGCUUGCUCCCCAAGUUAGUGGCGGACGGGUGAGUAACACGUGAGCAACCUGCCCUUCGGAGGGGGACAACAGCGGGAAACUGCUGCUAAUACCGCAUAACGUAUCCUGGAGGCAUCUCCGGGAUACCAAAGAUUUAUCGCCGAAGGAUGGGUUCGCGUCUGAUUAGAUAGUUGGCGGGACAACGGCCCACCAAGUCUACGAUCAGUAGCCGGACUGAGAGGUUGAACGGCCACAUUGGGACUGAGAUACGGCCCAGACUCCUACGGGAGGCAGCAGUGGGGAAUAUUGGGCAAUGGGGGCAAACCCCCUGACCCAGCAACGCCGCGUGGAGGAAGAAGGCUUUCGGGUUGUAAACUCCUUUGACGAGGGACGAUAGUGACGGUACCUCGAAAACAAGCCACGGCUAACUACGUGCCAGCAGCAGC